rfam:Rhizopus oryzae RA 99-880 supercont3.1 genomic scaffold, whole genome shotgun sequence.
GUGACCGUACUCUACAGGAUCUGUAUGCAGUACAUAACAUUUCUACGUUUUCAAAACGAGAUACAAUUCCAAAGUUAGUCGAUGAUUGUUAGUAGCUCUUCUUUUGAGUGAAGUGUGGCAUGAACUAUCUCUCAGAGUAGUUCUUGUCAGUUGAUGAUCUCGCCUGUCUUUUAUUCCAAGGACAUGGCAGGGAAGACGCUACAAGUCUGAUAACU